rnacentral:rRNA from 1 species
ACUCAAAUGAAUAGACGGGGGCCCGCACAAGCGGCGGAGCAUGCGGAUUAAUUCGAUGCAACGCGAAGAACCUUACCUGGGUUUGACAUCACUCAAAAACUGUUGGAGACAGCAGGUCCUUCGGGGUGGGUGACAGGUGGUGCAUGGCUGUCGUCAGCUCGUGUCGUGAGAUGUUGGGUUAAGUCCCGCAACGAGCGCAACCCUCGUCCCAUGUUGCCAGCAAUUCGGUUGGGGACUCAUGGGAGACUGCCGGGGUCAACUCGGAGGAAGGUGGGGAUGACGUCAAGUCAUCAUGCCCCUUAUGUCCAGGGCUUCACGCAUGCUACAAUGGCCGGUACAAACCGUUGCGAGCCCGUGAGGGGGAGCGAAUCGGAAAAAGCCGGUCUCAGUUCGGAUCGGGGUCUGCAACUCGACCCCGUGAAGUCGGAGUCGCUAGUAAUCGCAGAUCAGCAACGCUGCGGUGAAUACGUUCCCGGGCCUUGUACACACCGCCCGU